CUACACAGAAAACAUGAAGGUGGGAAUGGGGGAGAAGACAUUGCAUCCAUGAAAUGGUAAUAUGGCCAAUGAGAUUCCUAACAUCCAAUCCUGGAAGAUGCCUGGAAACCUGUGCCCUUUGUCAGCCUCGUGAAUUCAUAAUAGCAUGCUGCUGAGAUGCUAGUCAGCACACUGUUUUAUGGAUUUCAAAUAAAUGUAGCAGUUGACAGAUUUCUGAAGGUAGG
rnacentral:lncRNA from 1 species